GGGCCCAUAGGACUGUUGAGGAAUCAGCUCUAACUGAUGAUUGCCAAUGCAGAUAAAGCACUGGCAGAGUUUUCCAGCUUCUCAACAGAAGCAGAAGUCCAAGUGAUGAGGUUUAAGCUGCAAAGACGUAUUACAUAAGAACAAGGGAAGCUGCUUUAUGGCACGCUGGUGAAGGAUCCUGCUGAUUCCUCCUGAGCGGCUCUCGACUUCCUUUAUGGCAUCAAAGGCCCCAGAAACUGUUAGUGAAGAUGACGUGGAGGAGGGGAUAAUUUUUCUGUUUCCUGAGGUGCCGUUUCUCCUUGUAUGCUUGCUGUGUUGACACUUACGCUGAUGAUGCAAAAGCGACAGCGGGGGCCACUCGAGCCAGCGGCAGCAGACCCAACAGCUUGCUGGCAGGUCCCUUCCCGCCACAUGCUUGCAAUAAAGAAGGAGGAAAAAAUCAAUUUCAUUUAAGAAUGUCUUCGGUGAAGCAGUAAAAAUGAUUAAUUUUAUUAAAUCUCAACCCUUGAAUACAUGUCCUUUCAAUAUUUUCUGUGAGAAAAUUAUACUUCACAGAGCAAGCGGUUGAGUAGCUGAGUGCCGCUGGUGAGCUGCCUUCCCAUGGACAGCUGUCCUUAGCUGCCCUUGCUGCCCUGGCACGGACUUCCUUCCGGUAGGUACCACAGAGACUCUGCUGCUGCUCGGUGAGCCACAGCAGGCCCUGUCUAAUAAAGUCUGGGUCAGCUCUGGGUAGAGGGAAGGGGCUUGUCUUUGGUCAGUUUGUCCCAGCCCUAGGGGUGGUGGAUGCCUGUUAUGCCUGCUUUUGUAUUCUUUAGAGAGAGAGCUAAAGUACCCUCAUUAUUCCAAUGUCCUGUUCUAGUUGAAAAGCCCUUGUAUCCAACUUUCCUACUCAACUUCCUGUAUGGUGUCUCUCUCCUGAUUGAACCCAGAGUAAUGUCCACCAAUAAGAUGCUUUCCUCUGCAAAAAGCCUCCAGACUACCCCUGGCCUGGGUCUAACAGCACCCUCAAAUGUUCAUUAAGAUCCUCUAUUAGUCACCUUUUCAUUACUGGGACAAAUCACUGACACCCACAAUUUAAAAGAUCGGGUGUUUUUUGCUUUUGCUUUUGGCUCAUGGUUUCAAAGACUUCAGUCUGUUUUUGAGUGGCUCCAAGGCACAAACAUGGUGGCAUAGGGCAUGGCAGAGGAAAG